AUGGCCCGUACAAAGCAGACCGCUCGCAAGUCCACCGGCGGCAAGGCGCCACGCAAGCAGCUGGCCACCAAGGCGGCCCGCAAGAGCGCGCCGGCCACGGGCGGCGUGAAGAAGCCGCACCGCUACCGGCCCGGCACGGUGGCCCUGCGCGAGAUCCGCCGCUACCAGAAGUCCACGGAGCUGCUGAUCCGCAAGCUGCCGUUCCAGCGCCUGGUGCGCGAGAUCGCGCAGGACUUCAAGACCGACCUGCGCUUCCAGAGCUCGGCCGUGAUGGCGCUGCAGGAGGCGUGCGAGGCCUGCCUAGUGGGGCUCUUCGAGGACACCAACUUGUGUGCCAUCCACGCCAAGCGCGUCACCAUCAUGCCCAAGGACAUCCAGCUUGCCCGUCGCAUCCGUGGUGAAAGAGCGUAAACUUGUUUUUCCAUUAACCUUGGUGCCCUCGAACACGGUGUGCUUGGCCAGCACCCCGGGCAGCAGCAGGCCCACGGCCUUCUGAAUCUCCCUGAAUGUGGACAAGUGCUUGUUUUAAUGCUCCAGGAGCGACGCCUCGCCCGCGACGCAAAGAUGUUAUUGACAAACGAGUUCAUGAUGCCCAUGGCCUUGGACGAGAUGCUGGGUGAACUAGAUGUUUACGGUCAAUGUGAAAUAGGAUUCAUGAGAUGCUUAGACGAUGGAUUUUUAAAUAGGGUAAUGGCGCGUACAAAGCAAACUGCUCGUAAGUCGACCGGCGGCAAGGCGCCGCGCAAGCAGCUGGCCACCAAGGCGGCCCGCAAGAGCGCACCAGCCACGGGCGGCGUGAAGAAGCCGCACCGCUACCGGCCCGGCACGGUGGCCCUGCGCGAGAUCCGCCGCUACCAAAAGUCCACGGAGCUGCUGAUCCGCAAGCUGCCGUUCCAGCGCCUGGUGCGCGAGAUCGCGCAGGACUUCAAGACAGACCUGCGCUUCCAGAGCUCGGCCGUGAUGGCGCUUCAGGAGGCGUGCGAGGCCUACCUGGUGGGGCUCUUCGAGGACACCAACCUGUGUGCCAUCCACGCCAAGCGCGUCACCAUCAUGCCCAAGGACAUCCAGCUCGCCCGCCGCAUCCGCGGCGAGAGAGCAUAA